rnacentral:rRNA from 1 species
GUGGGGAAUCUUGCGCAAUGGGCGAAAGCCUGACGCAGCCAUGCCGCGUGGAUGAUGAAUGUCUUAGGAUUGUAAAAUCCUUUCACCGGUGAAGAUAAUGACUGUAGCCGGAGAAGAAGCCCCGGCUAACUUCGUGCCAGCAGCCGCGGUAAUACGAAGGGGGCUAGCGUUGCUCGGAUUUACUGGGCGUAAAGGGCGCGUAGGCGGACAUUUAAGUCAGGGGUGAAAUCCCGGGGCUCAACCUCGGAACUGCCUUUGAUACUGGGUGUCUUGAGUAUGAGAGAGGUGUGUGGAACUCCGAGUGUAGAGGUGAAAUUCGUAGAUAUUCGGAAGAACACCAGUGGCGAAGGCGACACACUGGCUCAUUACUGACGCUGAGGCGCGAAAGCGUGGGGAGCAAACAGGAUUAGAAACCCCGGUAGUCC